rnacentral:rRNA from 1 species
AGAGUUUGAUCCUGGCUCAGGAUGAACGCUGGCGGCGUGCUUAACACAUGCAAGUCGAACGAAGCACUCAGGAGCGACUUCGGUCAAUCCUGUUUGACUUAGUGGCGGACGGGUGAGUAACGCGUGAGGAACCUGCCUUGCAGUGGGGAAUAACAGUUGGAAACGACUGCUAAUACCGCAUAAUGCAGAGAGAUCGCAUGGUCUUUCUGCCAAAGAUUUAUCGCUGUGAGAUGGCCUCGCGUCUGAUUAGCUAGUUGGUGAGGUAACGGCCCACCAAGGCGACGAUCAGUAGCCGGACUGAGAGGUUGAUCGGCCACAUUGGGACUGAGACACGGCCCAGACUCCUACGGGAGGCAGCAGUGGGGAAUAUUGGGCAAUGGGCGCAAGCCUGACCCAGCAACGCCGCGUGAAGGAAGAAGGCUUUCGGGUUGUAAACUUCUUUUAUUAGGGACGAUAAUGACGGUACCUAUUGAAUAAGCUCCGGCUAACUACGUGCCAGCAGCCGCGGUAAUACGUAGGGAGCAAGCGUUAUCCGGAUUUACUGGGUGUAAAGGGCGUGUAGGCGGGACUGCAAGUCAGAUGUGAAAAACUAUGGGCUCAACUCAUAGCCUGCAUUUGAAACUGUAGUUCUUGAGUGCUGGAGAGGCAAAUGGAACUCCUCGUGUAGCGGUGAAAUGCGUAGAUAUUAGGAAGAACACCAGUGGCGAAGGCGAUUUGCUGGCCAGUAACUGACGCUGAGGCGCGAAAGUGUGGGGAGCAAACAGGAUUAGAUACCCUGGUAGUCCACACCGUAAACGAUAAAUACUAGGU